rnacentral:rRNA from 1 species
CCGUAACUAUAACGGUCCUAAGGUAGCGAAAUUCCUUGUCGGGUAAGUUCCGACCUGCACGAAUGGUGUAAUGAUCUGGACGCUGUCUCAACCGUGAGCUCAGUGAAAUUGUAGUAUCGGUGAAGAUGCCGAUUACCCGCGAUGGGACGAAAAGACCCCGUGAACCUUUACUAUAGCUUAUCAUUGAAUCUGGGCACGUGAUGUGUAGGAUAGGUCGGAGGCUUUGAAGCAGGUACGCCAGUAUUUGUGGAGCCGCUGUUGAAAUACGACCCUUUAUUUGUUUGGAUUCUAACCCGUGGUACGGGGACAUUGAUUGGUGGGUAGUUUGACUGGGGUGGUCGCCUCCAAAAGCGUA